AAAGGGUUAAUAUCGAUAGAUUUCGAUAAAAUUAGGUGAAAUUUCAGCGUCGUUGUCUAAAAAUACGUCGAUCAUCGAAUGGAUAAUAUAAAUUAUGACGAAUAUUAUAAGACAAAAUAUCAGAUUUAUUUAUUUUUUUUUGUUUAAUUACGCUAAUCUAAAAUUAUCAAGAAAAUACGUAAAAACUUAACCCCCCCACCAGAAUCAAUAUUACAUCGAACGAGAAAAAAUUGAAAUUAUUUAUCCAAAACUAUACUGCUGUCUCUAUUCGUUCAUUCGUCGAGAAGAAGAAGAAGAAGAAGAAGAAGAAGAAGAUAAGAUCCAUUUGUAAAGCAGCCAUGUGGAAUUAUUGUAAAGCGGCCCAUUUCUGCAUGAACAUCGUCGAGGACGACGACGACGACGAUGAUUAUUGGCUGAGUUAUUCGUCCGAUUAACACCAAAAUUGCACACCGCCUACGAGAAGUGAAACGAAGCGAAGCGAAGUGAAGAGAAGAGAUGUUUGAUGUAACGAAAAA
rnacentral:lncRNA from 1 species